GUCUCGACCGAACCGGCACCUACCAGACGACGCUCGAUUCCCCUCGCUCCUAGGGUUAGCAACCGCCCCCGCCGCCGCCGCCGCCGCCGCCCCCGCCCCGGCGCCGCAGAUACACACUCCUCUCUUCCCUACUCGACCACAUCCAUUCGACGUCGCCCAGCCCCAGCCAUCGACGACGCGACCCUGACGCCCUCGUCUGCUCCCACCGCCGUCGGACUGCAUCCACCCGACUCCCUCCUCUGGCCCCGACGACGCAACCCCACCGGUAUCCAAGGUCUCACCAGCGCGGCUAGUCGGAGGUGUGGCGGCGAGCGCGCGGGGAUGAUGGAGGACGUCGGCUCCGGUGACGCGACAGCGCAAGGCAGCCGAUCUCAAGACCCCAUGACGCCGCCAGAUCUGUCCCCGCCGCCUCCUUUCUCAGGGCCCACUGGACGUUCGAAAUCCCCCACGGUGAGAAGUUAUGUUAUGGAAACUGAAGACUUGUUUGUGCCUGUUUGGGUAAAAAACUACAGUGAGAAAAGAAGGAAGAACUGGGUGCCGUCAUCGUCUGAUCUCAAACUACUUUCGCUCAAUCGUCUUAAACAGCAACAAGCUUGUGAGGAUAACCGCAAGGUGGCUGUGAAGGAUGUAAGUUGGAGGAAGAAGUGGGUGGUGGCGUGGAUGGAUGUGGUGAGUAGGAAGAUGUGUGUGUCAUAUACAGACAUAAUCAUCAUGGUCAUGCUUGUCAUAGCCGCCAUCCCGCAUGACGAGGACUACCACGACUUUGCUGACCAACGCACACUUUUCCUUGGGAUCCCUAAUACGCUGAAUGUGAUCUCAACGAUCCCCCUCUUUUUUGUCGGUCUCGCCGGGCUCAUCCUUAACCACUGCAAAAGCUAUUUUAGGCUAUGGUCACAGGGGGAUCUCUACACACUCUUUGCUGGUGUCAGUGCUGCUGGCUUUGGUUCAUGCUAUUACCAUCUCAACCCAGAAAAUGGCACCCUAUUUUGGCACAAAUUGCCAAUGGUGACCACUUUCACAUGUUUUGAGGCCGUUUUCAUUAUUGAAAGUUUUGAUGAUUGGGCAAGAACAAAGUCCCUUGCAUCAACAAGCUACUGGUUAUGGGCAGCAGGACUGUACCUCCUUGCUAGAGUAGAAGAGGUUGCGGACAAACAAAUUUAUAGGUGGACUCUUCAGAUUGUUAGUGGGCAUACUCUUGGUCAUUUAUGUGUUUCGAUGGUACCUCUUUUUUUGAUUCUCAUGUUAGCAGAAAGGACAAGGCCAGUUGAACUAGAAAGACGCAUGGUUCCAGUGGAUCAUCAACUAAAUCUUACUUCCAUGGUCUGCUUAUUGGUGCCCAAGAUGAUCUUCCUCUGGGUGCCCAUGAUACAGGUUAGUGUCAUCAUUUGCGAAAUCGGCAUUCUGAUGAUGGAGUUUGGUGCUCGUUCUGUUAAUCAGGCAAAGAUCUCUGACGAUCAAGCAACAUUAGAAACCCCAAUUCGUGCUUGGGAAACUCUGUCACGAAUUCAUGGCCUUUGGGGGAUGGACAUUUACAAGAAUAAGGUGCUUCAGUUUUUACAGAGUGAGCGGUCGGAUGAGUCCUUUCUUGGACUAUGGGGCCCGCCGGGUGUUGGCAAGACGCGACUUCUUUCACUCAUUGCUGCUAGCUAUGCCGAUUCAUUCCGUCACAUCUUAUUUCUUGAUGGUGGCAGCAGCGUGAUAGUUAUGCAACAUCAUCUUGCUUCUUUCUUGAAAUUGGAUUGGGAGACGAUGUCGGCGUUAGAGGAGCAUUGCCGAGCUAAGAUCAUCACUGACAUUCUUGUGCAAGAUAGUUUUUUUGCUUCUAUUAGACAACCUUUAUGAUGGACCCUACCCAGACUUGGUAGCUGUUGGUUUGCCGAUGCCUCUUGGGUGUCAUCAAAAGGUUCUUACAUCAAGGAGAGAGGGUGUGUGGAUUCAUGGAAUGCACGAUAUCAAAUAUUGUGCAGAUGAAGUGCCUCGGGGACGAAGAUGCUUGGAGACUUUUCAAGUACCAUGCGGGAGUUGAAAUCACAGAAGCUGAUGCUGAAAUUUACGAUUAUGCAAAACAGAUGGUCCGGGCAUGUGGUGGGUUGCCUAGAGGCAUAUGUGCCCUUGGCAAAGGCGUUGCCCGAGUGACUCGUGGUGGUAAGGAUCUAUUUGCUUGGCAGCUCGCGUACAGGAAAACCAUGGGAAGAAUUCGACAUCCCGAGCAAAUGCCAGAAAUAGCGUAUGUUCUGGUCUAGGUAAGUGAAAACUGUGAAGUUGUGAUAGUAGUACAUGCGCAAGUGCUCAAGAACCCCUGGCAAAAAAAAAGUGUAUUUCUGAAGGGAAAAGCACUUGGUAGUAGUUCUCAUUGCAAGGCUUGAAUAAAUUCCAAAUGGAUGUCUUCAUCUUGGUGAAGUAAUCUUCCCUUCCUGUAAAUCAAUCCAGAGUUUGUUUAGCAUUAGAGUUCAGGAAACCGUUGGGAUUCAUGCCCCUGACAGUUCUUCAUAAGCAUUUUUUCAUUUCCUGCUCAAACUCAAAGUUGGUCUCACCUGGGUAUCGUGUCCAAUGGAUAAACUUGCAUGGGGGAUUUCCUUUUUAGAGCUUCAGGAGUUGCAUUUGGUAUCAGCUUUUUUUUGUUGUUGAUAUAUUCUUCUUGAGGACAAUUCAAGCCAUUAGAUGUGAAACACUGAGAACACAUAACUGAAUAAUCUGUGCUAGGUAUAGCUGUAACUGUAGCUGCACCAGUAUUGCCAGGAUAUGACUCUCUAAGUCUUGCAUCUGAGUCCAGCGGAUAGACUUUGAUGGAAGAUUUACUCGCACAAGUUGUAGUAUUAGGCGGCACAUUUUAUAUGACAAACCUUGGGAUUUGUGUGACAUUUGCACAGCAAUCAAAGAGGAAUCAAGUGCCUUGCACACAAGUGCAUGUAAUUACUAUUUACUCCCUUUGUAAAUUAAUAUAAGAUCUUCUAGAUCACUACUUUACAGAGGGAGUACUUGAUAGGCCUAGCCUCUGCUUUAGCUUUGCAGUUGAUUUCACUCUGGAUUGUGUUCUUCUCUCUUAUGCCUGCUGAUGUGAAGGACCGCUGCUCUGGUUUCAGGCAACUUGUGCGUGGCUCCUAGGAGCUGUAGAGACAUGGUUGGACUUCAUUACGUGUUGCUGCCACAAUGAAGUGUUGGAAGAGUCCAGAUGGCGGCAGUUUGAUGCUUACUUGUGACUAUGGUGUGAUAUGUUUGAUGAUAUUACUUUUUCUAGUAUGUGUUUUCUUGACUUGUCAGUCUUCUGAUGCGUAAACACACAGCAGAACACCUUCAUGCUCCUUAAGCACUCCGGGCAGUUGGCCUUUUAAAAAUUGUAUUAUAUAAUUG
rnacentral:rRNA from 1 species